CGACCGGCGCACGGGUGAGUAACGCGUAUCCAACCUGCCUUACACUCUUGGACAGCCUUCUGAAGGGAGAUUAAUACAAGAUGUUAUCAUGAGUAAGCAUUUUCACAUGAUUAAAGGUUUACUGGUGUAAGAUGGGGAUGCGUUCCAUUAGAUAGUAGGCGGGGUAACGGCCCACCUAGUCUUCGAUGGAUAGGGGUUCUGAGAGGAAGGUCCCCCACAUUGGAACUGAGACACGGUCCAA
rnacentral:rRNA from 1 species